GGGUCUAUAAUGACAAAUCAAUGUCAUGAAAAGAAAUGAUGAUAUACAAAUCAUGCUCAAUAGGAUUAUGCUCAGGCCC
rnacentral:snoRNA from 2 species